GUCCUCCUCCACUACGGCGGGAAUGGGUAAUGCACAGGUCGCGUUAGGACGGUCAGCCGCAUUAAACAGAAAAGUUUCUCCAACAUGCUUCACUUUGAAAAUGACCCCAAAAUGCAGCUUGAUGUGGGGGUGCACGCCUAUAAUCCCAGCACUCCAGGACGCCGAGGCAGGAAGAUUCCAAGUUGGAGCCAGUUGAGAUUUGGCAAGACUUUGCCUCAAAAUUGUGGGGGGAUCGAACUGAGGACUGCCUGCUUACAAGGCAGGCGCUUAUGCCACUGAACUAAAUCCCCUCAUGGCUCUUAAUUUUUAAGAAAGAAUAUAGUUUGUUAGGUGGUAAAAUAUAGUGAUUAAUAAAAGAAUUUACACACCCAAUUGUUGUAGGAAUUUUUUUCUCUAUGUGCCAUAUACAGAUAUGUAACAUUUCCUAGGAACAUGUUAGAUGAACAGAAAUUUAAAAAUGUGGAAAACGAAGCCAUUCUGGAUUUUUCUGCACAUUUAGUUUUUUUUUUUUUUUUUAAUACCAGGAAUCAGACUCAGGCCCGUGCAUUUGCUAGGCAGGCAGUUAUGCUAACUGAGGUACAUCCCUGGCUACAUUUACUUUAAAUAUAAAAAAUGAACUUUGUGUUAUUUACGUCAUGAAUAUUGUAAAAGUCUACAUAUAAGAACAAUUAUAGUAUUUUCAAGUCCUAUAAAAUUCACUCGUGAAAAUGAAAAUGUAUCCUAACCUUUGAUUUCAGUUUAAAAAUUAUUUCAAAAAUGUCUUUUUUAUUGAACCGUGCAAACUCUGUACACUGAAAUAGUUUAUCAGUGCUUACAUAUCCAUUGAUAAAUAAAACUGACCCUACAAGUGAACUUACACAUGCACUACCUGAAGUUCCCCCAAUGUCAGAGAAUCUACCUGAAAUCAAGGAACAGAGGAGCAAGUCAAAUUUCUGUAUUUUUCUUAGUGCAGAAAUGAACUGUGGCUUUUCCUAUUAUUAAAUUCACAAAAUAGUAUCUUCCAUGACUGCCAUAAAAUCCUUUUGAAUCUACUUCUAAGGUGGUUUUUGAUGAAUUUUAAAAAGAGCUAGGUAAUAAUUUUAAUGGAGGUAAUGAAGUCAAUAAAUUAAUUGCAUGAAUAAGGCAACAUGUUUACCUUAAAAGUUAUAUUGAGCCUCUGAAUAAAAUAAUUUCCUAGAAAGGGAGUAAUCUAUUUGUACCUAGGGUUCAAGUGAGCCAUGUGUUUUCUUUUCUUUUUUUUUUAAAUUUUAUUUAAAAGGAAAAAGAGAAACACACAAAACAAAACAAAGUGGUGUAAGGGUACACGUAGUACAGAACUACAAAAAAAAAAAAAACAGUAAGAAAUCACCUGUUAAUAGAUUACAUAUUAUCAUCUUAGAUAGUUGCUCAAAUCACAGUAUCAAAGAAUACAAAGUGGACAUUCAAACAGUGAGACUGCAAACAGCUGUGUUCAAUGAUCCAAAAACAUUAAUAUAGUCAGCUAUUUAACACCCCUAAACACACUUGCUGUUAUAUCCGUUAGAGCUCUUUUUUUUUUUUUUCCCCUAGAGCCAUGUGUUUUCACUAGGUGAUGUUAGGCUAGCUGUCACCACAGCUGCUGCAAGACAGUAAGAUCGCACAGCCACACUCUACCUGCACCUGCAGGCCAGUGAAGUCGUGACCGAUCACCAAAAAGCAAAUAUUCUCCAACUGAUGGUGGUACGGGCAAGUAAAUAUUGCAUAGGGUUUCAGGAAAAUGUUUGAAACAAGUAUUUUUAAAAUCCUAAAGCAAAACGUAAGUUUCUAGAUUCAGUCAUUCCUAUUGGCUUUCUAAAAAACUAUUCCUAUUUGGCCUUAACCAUAUACAGAAAAAUUCAAGACCACCUAAAGGUUAAAUGAAAAACAUUCAGAGAAUACAUGAAAGUACACACGUGCACAUGACAAACUGAGAGAAUGCAUAUGGGAA